rnacentral:rRNA from 1 species
UACGGAGGGGGCUAGCGUUGUUCGGAAUUACUGGGCGUAAAGCGCACGUAGGCGGAUCAGUUAGUCGGGGGUGAAAUCCCGGGGCUCAACCCCGGAACUGCCUUCGAUACUGCUGGUCUGGAGUCCGAGAGAGGUGAGUGGAAUUCCGAGUGUAGAGGUGAAAUUCGUAGAUAUUCGCAAGAACACCAGUGGCGAAGGCGGCUCACUGGCCCGGUACUGACGCUGAGGUGCGAAAGCGUGGGGAGCAAACAGG